GUAAUGCUGCCUCCCAGGAGCUCAGGGGGAGGAAAAAAGCACUUCUCCGUCUUCCCUAAUGUUUGUCCUGUAGGGACACUGCUGCUUAAUGGAGUUCACUGCACUGCUCUUUUCUGUUCAGCUGAGCUUCGCUGCUGCCUGUCCUGUUCCGUCCUUUUCCGCUGUCACGUGUCCCCAUGAAUCCUGCUGCCCUUCCGUGACACGCGAGAAAACAGCUACACGCACACUCGAUGUGUGUGUGACGGUGCAAGAGAGGAGAAAAUGACUACACGGUCAGUUUGUUCUUCAUUGUCUCCUUGACGACAGGCUCUUCCCCUCCUCUACUGUUAUCUCAGUGUCUGAAAUCCUCCAUUCCUUCUGUAGAUCCUGUCCCGCAACCAUCAUCCACGGAUUCUUUUGCUUCUGACUGAUGUUUGUCACAGUAUAGCACCGUUAGAGUACAUGACUUUGUGUUCGAUAAGUGGGACGACACACAGACUGCUAUGGAAAUGUUUUUUUCUUCCCUCCAUGUUCUAUUGCUGAAACUUCAUGAUAGCAAGUGUGAUUAGGACGUCUUAGUGGGGGAGUGGGGGGGGGAUCACAUGUUGGUCAAAUCAGAGGGAUGAGAUGAGGCUAAGGGCAUCAUGUGGCCCUCAUGAGACCAAUCACCUGACCUGGGCCAAGCACCACCCUGGCAAUGGAUUCCUCUGAGUUAUGAGAUCUUUGUAAGAGCCUUUCCAGCUGUUAAAGCUAAAAGAAGCACAUACAUAGUCACAAUUACAGGUGCCGAGGUGCUUAUUUCAAUUGUAUAUACAGAAUGCACUCCGUGUUUAGAAUGGCUGCA